rnacentral:rRNA from 1 species
CAGUAGCCGCGGGAAUACAGAGGGUGCGAGCGUUAAUCGGAUUUACUGGGCGUAAAGCGUGCGUAGGCGGCUAAUUGAGUCGGAUGUGAAAUCCCCGAGCUUAACUUGGGAAUUGCAUUCGAUACUGGUUAGCUAGAGUGUGGGAGAGGAUGGUAGAAUUCCAGGUGUAGCGGUGAAAUGCGUAGAGAUCUGGAGGAAUACCGAUGGCGAAGGCAGCCAUCUGGCCUAACACUGACGCUGAGGUGCGAAAGCGUGGGGAGCAAACAGGAUUAGAUACCCCUGUAGUCCCUGUCUCUUAUAC